rnacentral:rRNA from 1 species
UACGUAGGGCGCAAGCGUUGUCCGGAAUUAUUGGGCGUAAAGAGCUCGUAGGCGGUCUGUUACGUCCGCUGUGAAAACCCAGGGCUUAACCCUGGGCUUGCAGUGGAUACGGGCAGACUAGAGGCAGGUAGGGGAGAAUGGAAUUCCCGGUGUAGCGGUGAAAUGCGCAGAUAUCGGGAGGAACACCGGUGGCGAAGGCGGUUCUCUGGGGCCUGACCUGACGCUGAGGAGCGAAAGCGUGGGGAGCGAACAGG